AGCAGCCGCGGUAAUUCCAGCUCCAAUAGCGUAUAUUAAAGUUGUUGCAGUUAAAAAGCUCGUAGUUGAAUUUCAGGCCUGGCUGGACGGUCCGCCCUUCGGGUGAGUACUGUCUGUGGUCGGGUCCUACCUUCUGGCGAAGCGUCAUGGCCUUAACCGGCCGUGGCGGGGAACCAGGACUUUUACUGUGAAAAAAUUAGGGUGUUCAAAGCAGGCAAAUCGCUUGGAUACAUUAGCAUGGAAUAAUGGAAUAGGACAGUGGUUCUAUUUGUUGGUUUCUAGGACCGUUUGUAAUGAUUAAUAGGGAUAGUUGGGGGCAUUAGUAUUCAAUUGUCAGAGGU
rnacentral:rRNA from 1 species